CUUGGUGACCAUGGCGUCAGUGACCCACCCGAUCCCAUCUCGAACUCGGACGUGAAACCUGACAGCGCCGAUGGUACUGUGACUUAAGUCCCGGAAGAGUAGGACGUCGCCAGGC
rnacentral:rRNA from 1 species